UUUUUUCUUCUCAAGAGUGAUCUGAGAGACACAAAUAAUGUUCAAAGAAAAAAAAAGAAAGAAAAAAAAGUUGCCUCUUCUGGGGCUUGAACCCGCGCCCCUCAGUUACAAUUCAUUCUAGCCUAUUUGAAUACUCUUCAAAGUGGAGGUAAUGCAUUAGGUGGAUCAUACCUUAAAG